UCUCUCUCUUGGCUUUCUCUUUCUCUCUUAGUGUUCUUCUUCUGUUCUUGCAACAGAAAUCAGAGCUUGGAAGCUUUGAUCUUCCCUCAAAUCAGUAGCAGCCUUCUCCCUUUCUUUGUUGUGCAUGAAUAGAAUUAAAAAGGGAAGAAAUCAAAGAAGAAGGAUUGUAUCUUCUUCUCCCUUGGACAACAACUUUUGGUAAGUCUCUACCUUCUCUUCUCACGAUUUCUCUAGUUCUUUCAUGCCUCUUUGCUCACUCCAUUCAUGGAUGCUGUAGCAUGAAGAGCUCUUGCUCUUUCCCUUUUAGUUUCAGUUCAAAAGAAGAAGAACUCUCUUUUCUUCUUCACGAACAUAUAUAGAUAUCUCCAACUCUCUCUCUCUACCUCUCGGAUUGGUACAAAAAAAGAAUUAAGGAUCCUCUUCACCACACUCUUUGGCCAGAUCUCAUCUCUCUUGAGUUUGCUCGUGUAUGGGAUUGUGGUGUUAACCACAAUCACAUGCGAGUUUUGCAGGAAUGAAGGCAGGAGCUGCUAGGUUAUGGACGAGACCUUUAGUAUGUAGAUGUUAUAUACAAUGGUUAUGAAUGUUUGUUCCGCAUGUGAACCAUGUCUGCAGGCAGUCCACAGCGCAAAAUUCGACAGAGGACAAAGGGAGAUAGGGCUGCCUUUUGAGCUAAAAUUAUGAACCGACCAGUCAUUGCUGAGAGAAAUGUAGUUCGGUCCGACAUCAUGGUGGCUCCUCUAAACAGUAUUCACGACACUAUCCAAACCUACCAUUGGGGGUAUUUGCACAACUGUACCUGUGUUGUGUACACCAGGCUGGUUAGACUAUUCUAUGCCUUCCUCAAGGUGAUUCAGGAUGAUGACCGUGGGGUGGUGCUUCAGUCCACUAUGGAUGGGCAUACUAUCACUGUUGAUCCCCAGAUCAUCAGUCAGUUCAUAAGAGUGCCUGUUCUCCAGAUCUUUGGCAGCCUGUACAAUGAGGUGGUCAUACCUCCUUCUCUGGAUGAUCUCAGAGAAUUUUUUCAUGCUGGUCCCCAAGGAGAGGAGCACACUACCACCAUCAGGAUCGGUGCCCUCUCUGCCCUACACCGCAUGCUAGCCAAGAUUGUCCAGCACAACCUCUGGCCCGUUGUUAGGCGCAGUGACCUAAUAUUGAAGAGGCUCAGUUCGUGUAUGCCAUUAGACUUUGCUUGCCUUUCUGCCUGUGCAAGCAUAUUUUGGGAGUUAUUCUAGAGGCCCAUGAUGAGGGCAAUACCGAUCUCCCGUUCGGCUGCCUGCUCACUCAAAUUAUUCUACAGUCAAGCAUCAGUAUUGUUUGCGAGCCAAAGAUGAAGAUCUAGGAUCCUAUCAGCAAGCAGACUCUGAUGAAGUCCAAUGCUCAGCUACGACGAGAUGAUCAGGAUGAUGAUGUGCCCCCGCCUCCUCAUAUUCCUGUAGGAGUCCUAGAUGUGGCAUCCUCUUCACAGACUACUCCACCACCUCAACAGGAUGCCAGUUAUUCCCAACUUUUGGAGGCAUUGGCCGCUAUACAAGGAGGUAUGAGCUCCAUGCAGCUAUCCAUGUCAUCCAUGUAGCAGUCCAUCUCUGCCAUGCAACAUGAGGUUCACUCCAUUAACCUCUGUGUAGAGCAGAACUAGAUUGACCUCUGGGAAUGUCUCAAGUUCCAUCACCCAUCCAGCAGUGACAAUGAGGAUGAUGCGCCUAUGGCAGAGGCUGCUUGAGUUUAUUUGUUUAUUGUUGUUUACUUAUUUGAGACAUUUUUGUUAUCUUUUUGAUAAUUUGCUACAUUUGUUUAAACUACUGGAUAUUUUA